UCCUUAUAGUCAGGGACCCAUGUCCUUCCU
rnacentral:piRNA from 1 species